UCAUCGUCAUGACCAUCUUCUUCUACAGUGGAAACAACGCUUUUCGCGUCUUCUUCCAAAAGUGAAAGUGCUAUCGCGCGAUCAAUCUCUUCGCUAUCAAAGUCUGACAACGCGUCCUAAAUCCACAUAACAGACAAUGAAGGCAAAUUACAUAAGGAUAGCAGGUAGACGAGCAACAAACUGCGCCGCCAUCCCUUUCUGAAUAGACGAGCAGGUAUGAACAUUGAAAUAAUCAAUUAUAAACAACUAAUCAAACAAAUUAUUGAAAAGAACAUACCCCUGUAGUUUGAGGAUACUUAUCAUAUCUCCCAUUAUGUUUUCCGGAAUAUUUAUUGCUGGAACUUAACCCUUUAAGAAUCUUUUUUAUCCAGCCCAUGAAUCUUUUGAAGCUCU